CAACAGAAACCAACAAAAACCGAACAGAAGAACGCGCACCGAGUGAAGAUAUCAACGCCAGAUCGCUCAAUAUCGAACCGAACCUAACCGAAACGCUAAUCCGAACCAGACGCGAUGCACUGCAGCCAAAAGCAUAACGAAAACACGACGACCAAUCUUUGCUAGGGUCUGAAAAACCACA
rnacentral:sRNA from 1 species